ensembl:Mt_tRNA
GUUAAGGUGGCAGAGCCCGGUAAUUGCGUAAAACUUAAAACUUUAUAACCAGAGGUUCAACUCCUCUCCUUAACA